GAAUCCUUAGCUCAGCGGCAGAGCACCGCAUUUGUGGGGACGCAGGUUCGAAUCCUGCAGGGUUCG
rnacentral:tRNA from 1 species